AUGUUCCCAGGAAUGAGUGGGUAACCUAUGAUGCGCGUUUGUCGGUACUGGGCCUGCACUUGCUGGAGUUAAAAAUGAGGGGGGACCUCAUUGAAGCAUAAAGAAUAGUGAAAGGCUUGCAUAGAGUAGAUGUGGAGAGGAUGUUUCCACUCGUGGGGGAGUCUAGGA